rnacentral:rRNA from 1 species
UACGAAGGGGGCUAGCGUUGCUCGGAAUCACUGGGCGUAAAGGGUGCGUAGGCGGGUUUUUAAGUCAGGGGUGAAAUCCUGGAGCUCAACUCCAGAACUGCCUUUGAUACUGAGGAUCUUGAGUUCGGGAGAGGUGAGUGGAACUGCGAGUGUAGAGGUGAAAUUCGUAGAUAUUCGCAAAGAACACCAGUGGCGAAGGCGGCUCACUGGCCCGAUACUGACGCUGAGGCACGAAAGCGUGGGGAGCAACAGG